UGUUGGCAUGGUGUACUGUUCUGCCAUGU
rnacentral:piRNA from 1 species